UCGAUUUCUGUGGCGCAAAAACUCCCACCCUGGCGGGUUGCGAACUGCCAGAGCGGAGCGGUGGCCACGAAGACAAGCGCGCGGCACAGGCUAACACGUGUCCACCGGACAGGCAACGGAAGCAGACGCCAGGGACAUGCAGCUAAGUCAUUAGGAAGUGAUGGGUUUUGAGUGGCCAAAUUCCUAGAAGCUGAACACCGCCGUGUCUAAGUCUCGCCUCCCUCACCUGUGACCUGGGAGGUACAGUAGCUGUGACUUCGCGGUGAGGAUGGAGGAAGACCACGUGUAAAGAUCCCGUGGCUGCCCUCGGUCCCGGGGGCAGCAGAUGGAGAGUUACUCGCUCCCCCUGGCUGGGCAGGGAAAGCGCUGAGGGAGUCUGGGUCAGAUCCACACACAGAGGAAGCCGGUUUCAGAAUUCCAGGGGCAGAAACAGCCCGAAGGGUGUGGGCUCAGCACCCCUUGGCCCAGGAGGUGGGCCUGGCUUGAUUGCCACACAGACCCCAGCUUCCCAGAAGAAAGGCCAUUUCAGCGAGCUGGCUCAGCCCCGCCCCGCCCCUCCACUUUACACAGAGGCCACUUCCACUGUUUGCUAAAAUCAAGACCCUUCGUUUGAGGUAGAUCAGGUUACCGGGCAAGGUGAUUAUUGUUUCUAAUGGUCUGCAAACAGGUUCUCAACUGUUCAUCCCUCCGGUCUCUGGGACACGUGGACAAGCCGGACUAGACAGAGGCAAACACAGGCACUGGGAGCUCGGGGGUCUGAGAGAUGCUACAAGCAUGAGGUGGAUUUAGGAGGGUCCUGUGCCAGUGAGCAAGCUGAAGCUCAACUCUAGGCUGAGGGCUGAGCACCUACAUCAUGCAUGUCAAACUCGAGGCCCCCGGGCCACACCCCUCAUUUGUUUGGCCCGUGUUAGCCUUUGAGUUUGACGUGCUUGGCAUUAUUCCCCAAAUAGCCAGUGACUCCUUACUGGUGGUCCCCGAUUCCUAGGAGGCCCUGAGGGUUCAGGCAGGGACUGGAGAAUUCGGAGGCAUGCCAAACAUUGUCCACAAAAUAAAUAAAUAAAAGAGGCGGGAUCAAGUGGCAUUAAAUCCUUCACGCCUGUCAGACUGAAUUCUCAGGCCACCACUUCCCACCAAUGUGAGCUUGGGAAAAUUACUUAAUCUCUCUGAGCCUUGGUUUCCUCAUCUAUACAAUGGGGAUAAUAAAGGUCUCCAUCUACCCUGUAGGGUGGUGGGUGAAUUAUGAACAAUGCAUGUAGAGCACUUAGUAAAAUACUUGGCACAUAAUAAGUACAUGAUAAUAGUAGUUGCCAUUAAUAUUGUCAUAAUACUUUAAAGCUGUGGAUACUAUCAUAGUUCACAGAAUGCCAAUCUAGCUAAAGAGAUUACAUUUCAUUAAUAGUAGCUUUUCCCUUCCAUGUAUCUUCUCACCCAUAGAUAUUACAAGUGGCAUAGGGAGUGUCUUUGGGGUGUUUGGACCUUAAGAAGCAGCCCUCACUCUUUGUCUUUGGGUAAAUCAACCCCGCAGGACCCCAGCUUCCUCAUCCGGGAAAGAGGAGCCAUCCGGGCACACCUCGCUUUAUUGUGUUUCACAGAUACUGUGUUUUGUACAAGUUGAAGGUUUGUGGCAACCCUGCGUCAAGCAAGUAGAUUGAUGCCAUUUUCCCAACAGGCUCGGCUGAUGGUUGGGAUGUUUUAGCAAGAUCAAGUAUUUUUCAAUUAAGAAUGUCCAUUGUUGUUUAGCCAUGAUGCUAUUGUACACUUAA